UCGUCUUUUGCCGGACUCGGUCGGCAGUAUUGCUCCCCUGCCGAUCUUGAGUAGGAUAUGCCCAAGACCUUUAGGGAUCUUGACGCGUACUAGACAAGAGUAAGAGACUUUCUGGUUUCUGCAACGUUCUUUGAGUACGGGGCCUUCAACCUGGAUUCCAGGUAAUAUGGAGGAUUUCGUAAUUAUUUGUUGUAACACUC
rnacentral:snoRNA from 1 species